rnacentral:rRNA from 1 species
UACGUAGGUCACCAGCGUUGUCCGGAUUUACUGGGCGUAAAGAGCGCGCAGGCGGUCGUUCAAGUCGCGUGUGAAAGCCCCCGGCUCAACUGGGGAGGGUCACGCGAUACUGAUCGACUCGAAGGCAGGAGAGGGUAGUGGAAUUCCCGGUGUAGUGGUGAAAUGCGUAGAUAUCGGGAGGAACACCAGUGGCGAAGGCGACUACCUGGCCUGUUCUUGACGCUGAGGCGCGAAAGCGUGGGGAGCGAACGGG